rnacentral:lncRNA from 1 species
GCUCACCUUGGGCAGGUCAUGGAAGAGUUCCCCAAGUUUGACAAUGAUGAGGAGGAUGAAAAGGGAAGAGAUGGCUCCAGCAACCUGUGACAGUGGCCCAGAGUGGCUGCUCAGAUGGAGGCCAAACACAUACUUGAGCUGUGAGACGAAGACCUGCACAGCUGCAGCUGUGGUAUAGCCUCGGACAAGAGGUUCUGACAGGUCAGGAUACCGGGGUAACCAGACCAAAACCGGGAGGUGUUGGAGCAGAAGGGCAUAGGCCCGAGCACGGGAGCACCUAGGG